UAUAGCUAAUGGGAGCGGUAACCUACGUGGUACAGGCUAUGAUAAGGCGCGGGCAGCGAAACAUCGUUCUCUGCACACACGGAAACUCGAUCGGCUAGCGCGACACGGAGGAGCCUCGAGCGUGUUGUCCGGUCCAUGAUUCAACGGGACGAGAUGCAGCAGGUUUCGCGUAGACGAGAGCAAAUUGGCCAGACGGCGUCCGAUAACGCGAUGACGCUUCCGCCAUCGGCUCGCCUUCUGUCUCACUGGACACGAGGGCGCUCUUUCAAUUACCGCGACCGGAUGGUAGGUCGCAUCGCCUGCCAAGGGGGACAGUUGGAUACGCGGGCAGAUAGAUCGACAGAUAUACGUGCGUCGUUGCAUCUGUGCUAAAAAUGCUCGCUUAAAUGCGAAGAGGAGACGAUAGGGGAACCGAUCUCGCGUCUCGAGAGGCAAAGCGUGCCUGGACGUGCUCGUGAAAUUCGAUCGGUUUCGGUCUAACCAGGCCCUCUCGGAUAUCGAAAGAGGCCUGGAUGAUUUACCUUUCGGAGGUCUUGUAGGUGCAAGGCUUUAGGGUCCGUGAUAAGGUCUAGGAAAAAAUUGGCAAUCUGGGAAAGGAACGCGGCUGGAACUGCGACCGAAUUUCUUCCGAUAACUGUCCCCUUCGAGGCGAGUUUCACUUCGAGUCAAGGUUGGGCAUAUUUACGCGAUUACGGUCGCUGGCUGCGAAGCAGGCAGGUGGCGAAGGCAACGCGAAACGAGAGAACGUGCGUGCGUGUCAUCGAGACGGCCGAAUUAUUUGGCGGUGGAUCGCGAAGCCUCUUUUCGCACCUGGCGUUGUCAAAAACGGCCAGCUCUCCGGCCGCUGUCGACUCGGAUCCACGACGGUUCCACUCGAUAGGGAUCGAUCGCCACGCUUCCGACAAGUUUCAUCUCGUCGUUCCUUCUUUCGCAGAUCUCGAGACAAGCGCGUUCGACGAAAUAGAAAAGGUUCGAAUACGCUGGAGGCGGCAACCGGCGGCGUUCGUUGGAAUUCGACGAGCUGUUCAAGCCCGAGGAGAGAUCGGCGAAGGCUCCCACGCUUGCCACGCAGCUAUGCGAUAAUGGAACGAAGGAAUCUCGGUAUCGCUCGGUAACCGACGGUAGCGAUCGGUACUGGACUCUCUCAAUUUCGUGCGAUCGAUCGCGUCCCCUGUAGCGACAGAGUUCGUUAAGGAUCGCAGGACUCGAUGAUCGCGAAAAAUCGACGACUUGGACAUCCCAGGCUUUCACAGCCUGGCUCUUGGUGGAUACUAACGGAGACUUCCGGAUGGUAGUUUCGCAAGCAUCGAACUGGCUUCUCAAGGGUUCAAAUGACACACUGAUAUUGGCGUGCGUCGCGUAACUUGGAUAAUUUUAAGGUACCUCUGUUAAUGCACGGUUCAUUGGCUACCGAUCACCGAGCUCGUGGCACGAUUCACUGGUCACUGAUAGAAGUUUGACUGAAUUAACGAAAAACUGGGAAGGAACGCGUUCCAGAUAGGGUUCAAAGUUUCUUCAGUUUCCUGUAUACUCGAUGUCCGAGAGUUCAACCAGAACUUGGACUCGGUGACGAAGCCGUGGCUUUUAUCGAUGAAACCUGGAGGUUCGACAUUUCGUCCGCGACUCGUGUUUUUCUAUGAAAUUUACACCGACGAACCGUGGGAAACGUACGGGACUCGAGUUACCGCUCCUCGGAGCGGCUGGAGAAUAGCCGCGACGCAUUUAAGCGGACAAACAACCCGAUACCUCGUCUUCUAUUUAUCGCUUCGUACUCGACCCUCGAGAGUACCAUUUACCGACUACCGUGGUACACGUUGGCGGACCGCUGCCUCGCGUUGGCCUCCAGACUUUUCCGUUUACGUGGGCACGGACGAUACCAGCUGCGAGGAUACUCGCUCGGGCCCAUCCACCGUUAUUCCCCACCGACAAUCCUGCUACGCUUUUAGUCCUUUCGGAUUUUCCCGGAUCACUCGCCGAGGAACUUUGUUUAAACCUCUUUAGGGACGAAUUACUUUAUUAGACAUUUUUAUAUUUGCCUGUAACAUCUAUCAGGUUAAAGAGCUACAGUUCUAUCUGCGUUGAAAAAUUGAGUAAUCUAAUGCAUAUCCAAGAUACAACCAAGUAGAAGCUUUGGAUCGAAACGGUGGCCGAGGUAGACGCUGGAAGAGGAACGUCGCGACGGCGACGCGACGGAAGGAACGAGCCUCGGCGGGACUCAACAGGUUUGUUGGCUGCCACAAAGCGGACGUCCUAGCGAUGGUAGUUUCGUCGCCACGUAGCGGUCCGAUGGGUUAUUUUGGAUGGAUAUUUGACACAGGGGUCGGUAAACUAUGGGCCGCAGGCUAGGUCUGGUCCGCAACGUAUUAUCGUACGACCCGUGGUGCUAAGAACAAUUGUUAAGCGAACGUAACGAUGCACGAGGUACAGCGACGACUUAUUGUUAGCAGGCUCUGACGAGGCCCUAGAAAAGUGUCCUAUCUUGGAAUAACUCCGAACGGAACCGUCACGGCGAGUGGGUCUCGUUGAAUUAUUUUUAACGCUCUGAAAUCGUUCGACGCCCAUCGAAGCACUACGACGACCGACUUUACUUUCGGAGGAACGGCGUUGUCGGCUGGGGCUCGUCUCGAAAAGCUAUGCAACCGCGGCUACGACGGGAUAUUCGUCUCGGUUGGCCGAGACGUAGACGACUCGGACAGGUGUACGAGAAAAUACGAAUAGGUUUAGGGUAUCGGUUACAAAGCUCGACGAGAGCCGACCCUUUACAACCCUGGUCGCAUCAAGACCGUAUUGUUCGUCGAGGAAAAUUUACGAAUGCCAAGCGUGCGGGUGGUGCGAGAGUGUGCGAGCGUAACGAGUCCCUUGGCGCAGGUCUGAUUUAUGCGAGGUCGCAAGGAAAGAACCCAGGGCCUCUCACCUGCCCAGAUCUUUCUGCCUGGUAUUCUACCUUAGCCUCCGUCACCCAUCCUGCGUCGAUGCUUCAAGUCAAAUUUCAUCGAUCCGUCACGAUAUCGAAGAGAAUCGUGCAACCUAGCGUCACCUCGCUCCGUUUCGCAUUAAUUCCACUGUUGCGCCAACCAGUACCGUUUCAGGUUUUAUUAUCAUACUAAAUUUAUCAUAAUCCCGAAAAAAUGAAUUUUAUCACAGCUUUGUUUACGGGUUCGACCACCGC